AGGAUGAACGCUGGCGGCGUGCCUAAAACAUGCAAGUCAUACGGUCUACCUUCGGGUAGACAGUGGCAAACGGGUGAGUAACACGUGGGAACACGCCUUCGAGUGGGGAAUAACGCUGAGAAAUCAGUGCUAAUACCGCAUAUGGUCUAACGACUAAAGCAGCAAUGCGCUCGGAGAGUGGCCCGCGUCCGAUUAGCUAGUUGGUGGGGUAAUGGCCUACCAAGGCGGUGAUCGGUAGCUGGUCUGAGAGGAUGGUCAGCCACACUGGGACUGCGAACGGCCCAGACUCCUACGGGAGGCAGCAGUUAGGAAUUUUCGGCAAUGGACGAAAGUCUGACCGAGCGACGCCGCGUGGAGGACGAAGCCUUUCGGGGUGUAAACGUCCUUUUCUGCGGGAAGAUAAUGACGGUACCGCAGGAAUAAGCACCGGCUAACUACGUGCCAGCAGCCGC
rnacentral:rRNA from 1 species